GUUAGACAUUUCUGUAAUUUUUACAGUUAUUUACUGUAUAUCACCCAGUAUAAUACUGUAAACGAUUUAUACAGUACAUAACUGUAAUUCGCGUUGCAUUUUGGGAAUUUUCUGUGACAUCAUACAUCAUAUACAGUAAUUUACUGUAUUUUUGAAAAUUGCUGUAUGCUACUGUAUAUUUUCUAACAGUCUUUUGGCGGUAUUUUCCUUAUUCACACAAAUCCUUAUUUUAUUUUUCUCAAAAUCAUCAUUUUUGACAAUUGUAUACACACGCACGUUGACUUAUUUUAGCUAAGGAACCAUGUAGCAGCACAGGUGUUCGGAGGACCGAUUUCAGGUGUGCACAUAAACUAAAGAGUUUUCAAACAAGACUUUCCCUGGGACAGCGGCGCUUUUCAGUUGAAGAUAAACGAGAGGAGAGACUGAAAAAAGACCAGCAAGGUAAAAUAAUCUAUAUAACUUUAAGUUAUUUAUUAUCAGACCCGCGGUUGUUGUUUACCCGAACGGGACAUUUUAAAACCGUUAACCGGACGCGUUGCUUAACGUUUAACGGUAAUAUUAGUUUACCCAAGUCAGUAUAAACCUUAUUAAUAAAUCAUACUAUGUGUAUGCAAGCCUACGAGCACGCGUGGUGCGUUAAAUUACACGCUAGUGUUUUCCUUUUAUAAAACUAUUAUGAAGAAAUGCUUAACGUAGCCUAAUGUAUACAUAAAUGAUAUGAAAAGAUCAGAUUUAGUUUAUAAUGUUACCUGAGGGAAUAAUUUAUUAAUAUAAAAGCAUAUUUAAAAAAGUACUCUAAAUUACAUGAAGCUGGGAGGAAAACUCUUAAUGUGUAAGUAACCACGUUGUGUUUAUAUUCUCAUCCGCUUGGCUUUACCUGUUACAUGAAUUAUGCGUUAUUAAUAAGGUGUAUAACUAAAUUUUAUCUUUCAAUUUCGUCAAUUUCGUUAAACUACGUUAAGCAUUCAAUUUCGUUAAGCAUACGUUAAGCAUACGCCCACUGUCAUAACACACAGACCUGUGGCAAUGUGCAGUGAUUCGAGUAGUGUACAUCUACUCUGGUUAUCAUUUCAAAACAGUAUUUACUGAAAAAUAUGAGUGUUUAGCAUCAUGUAUUAAAUGUGUUAAAUAUGUCCUUUUUUCCCUGCAUUUAUUCUGCUGUCUAAAAUUCUUUGGGAGGAUAAAUUAAGGAGGAUGUAACAAAAUACACUGCAAGAACUGGAAUGAGAGACAAGUGAGGAUGAAGAGGACAACAGAAUAUCCAUCCUUUCUUCACCACCUCACAGAGUUUGAGUGAAACAACUUGUAUUAGGACUCACAGGAUUAUUUUAUAACAAGACUGAUUAUCUUAUACCAGAAGUACAGGUAUGGUAUUUUUUUGAAGCUACUUCAAAAGUCUUGUAUCACACUGAAGGGGCUUAUUUCCCAAUAACUACCGGCUGCCUCUACAUUAUCCCGCUUAUUACACGGCUACUUGCCACAUAAGAAAAAAAACUGGACAUGAAUAUGAAUUUGAAACAUUUUAUUGGCAUAUUUGUUUUAAAUUAACAUUUCUAUCCUUCCGCGAAACUUUGCACAGAUGCAUAAAAUGAUCGUAAUACCUUAUUAAGAUCAUCUGCUUCAUACUUGUCUGUCUCCAUUUUUUCUCUUUUAGCCAGUCUUUUAGAAGUUUUAAUCCCCAUUCUGUAUUUUUGUGUGUGCUGGCUUCGUAGCUGUCGUGCUCUAUUUUGUCAAGUUUAGUCUCAGUAAGCUGUCUGUGUCUUGUCGUGGUUGUCCAGGGUUUGUCACAAGAUGGCGCCAAACAGACAGUAAUCUUUAUUGAUCUUUAUUGGCGCGGAGCGAUUUUACUCGUACAAGUAGUCCGGCUAUGCGUUAUUAAUUUGGAGCGGUUAUUAUUUGAAAAGAACGAACCUGCAAAUGUCUCAACUGACCAAUCAGAAUCAAGCAUUCCAGAGAGCCGUGUAAUAAGAAUGUUUAUAUGCAAUAUUUUAACAGGACAUUAAGAAAUAAUGUUUUUCAACAGUUUGUAAAUAAUAGAAUGUAAUGUUUUUUAUCAUUACAAGCAAAAACAUUCAUAACGUUAUUGGGAACUUUGGGAACUUUCAAGGAACGUUCUUAGAACCUUUCUCUGUGGUUGAGCAUUGUAUUAGCAUCAUUAAACGCCAUGGGUUCGAACAAGGGAAUGCACAUGCUGAUAAAAAAAAUUAUACUUUGCAUUGCACUGUAUGUUAUUUGCCUUUUUCUGUAAAUGUGAAGAUAAAUAUAAAGACGGACAGUCAUUGUUUCAUUGUAAACCAGUUCUAUUUUAAGAGAACUUAACUAGACUAAAUAAAAGUGUCACAAAAUUUUUUAUUUUGCUAUUAUGAUGCUGAUUUUGUGGUGUUAUGGGUUUUCUGGUUACAGUGGUAGUGGAUCAUGAUCACCUCUCUAGCUUCAAAAGUAGGAUGCAAAAUGUAUAACACCAAAUCAUUAAAGCAUAACUCCAUGUAACUUGACAUAAUUUAAAGUCGUAUAAAGGCAGACAUGAUUCCGUGUGAAGUCCUAUGCCAAAGACUCUCCAAAUACUUCAUCUACACAUUCUUCCUGAUGUGUAUAUUUUGUUUGUAUAUCCUGGUUGUUGCAGACCUGACCGUAAACUUGACUGUGAGCAUCCAUCAGGUAUAGCUGUUUACUUGCAUUACUCAUUUAGAGAAAUGAAGGGUCAAAAUUGAUUAUAUUUUCAUCACCCCUUUUUGUAUGUCUUUGGGACACUUGAAAUAUAUAGCACAUAUAAUGUGGAGCCAUUUUAUAAUGCGGUCACAGACUACUCCCAUUGUAACUGGAAAACCAAAGAAAAUCAUUGUUUAAAUUAUAAAAUUAUAAUUUUUGGAUUAACUAAACCUGUAAUCAGUGUUAUACGUAUGUAUGUUUAUAAUUUGUGUUAUUUUAAAUGUAUUACUGCAAAUGAUUUGAAAUGUGUAUGGUUUAAAUGUAAUUUCACACUUCUUAAAGUAUUUGUAUUGUUUUAAAUAAAGGCUUCAAUAUUUGAAA